GAAUUGUUCGCAAUGGGCGCAAGCCUGACGACGCAACGCCGCGUGGAGGAUGAAGACCUUCGGGUCGUAAACUCCUUUCGACCGAGAUGAAUACUCACUGACCUAAUACGUUGGUGAGCUGACAGUAUCGAGGGAAGAAGCCCCGGCUAACUCCGUGCCAGCAGCCGCGGUAAUACGGGGGGGGCAAGCGUUGUUCGGAAUUACUGGGCGUAAAGGGUUCGUAGGUGGCCUACUAAGUCAGACGUGAAAUCCCUCAGCUUAACUGGGGAACUGCGUCUGAGACUGGUGGGCUUGAGUGCAGGAGAGGAACGCGGAAUUCCAGGUGUAGCGGUGAAAUGCGUAGAUAUCUGGAGGAACACCGGUGGCGAAGGCGGCGUUCUGGACUGCUACUGACACUGAGGAACGAAAGCCAGGGGAGCAAACGGG
rnacentral:rRNA from 1 species